AAGCGAAACCUCCCACGUAUAAGGCGUGGGAUGGUCUGACAGGAGUGGUUUCCUGACACUGAUGAGCAGCCAAAU
rnacentral:hammerhead_ribozyme from 1 species